rnacentral:rRNA from 1 species
AGGAGUUUGAUCCUGGCUCAGAAUCAACGCUGGCGGCGCGCUUAACACAUGCAAGUCGCACGAGAAAGUGGAGCAAUCCAUGAGUAAAGUGGCGUACGGGUGAGUAACACGUGGAUAAUCUACCUUUUAGUGGGGAAUAACCCUGGGAAACCGGGGCUAAUACCGCAUAAGCUCGUGAGAGGAAAGCAGCAAUGCGCUGAAAGAGGAGUCCGCGGCCGAUUAGUUAGUUGGCGGGGUAACGGCCCACCAAGACGAAGAUCGGUAGCCGGCCUGAGAGGGCACACGGCCACACUGGCACUGAAACACGGGCCAGACUCCUACGGGAGGCAGCAGUGGGGAAUCUUGCACAAUGGAGGAAACUCUGAUGCAGCGACGCCGCGUGAGCGAUGAAGCCCUUCGGGGUGUAAAGCUCUUUCGACGGGAACGAUAAUGACGGUACCCGAAGAAGAAGCUGCGGCUAACUACGUGCCAGCAGCCGCGGUAAUACGUAGGCAGCAAGCGUUGUUCGGAAUUACUGGGCGUAAAGAGUGUGUAGGCGGUGUUUUAAGUCUGUUGUGAAAUCUCCCGGCUUAACUGGGAGGGUGCGGCGGAGACUGGAAUGCUAGAGUAUGGGAGAG